rnacentral:rRNA from 1 species
CCCUUAGAUGUCCUGGGCCGCACGCGCGCCACACUGAUGCAUGCAACGAGUUUAUAACCUUGGCCUGAAAGGUCUGGGUAAUCUUUUGAACGUGCAUCGUGAUAGGGAUAGAUUAUUGCAAUUGUUAAUCUUGAACGAGGAAUUCCUAGUAAACGCGAGUCAUCAGCUCGCAUUGAUUACGUCCCUGCCCUUUGUACACACCGCCCGUCGCACCUACCGAUUGAACGGUUCGGUGAAGAUCUCGGACUUCGAUAUUUAUUCUUUAUUGAGUUUAUAUUGUGGGAAGUUAUCUAAACCUCAUCAUUUAGAGGAAGGUGAAGUCGUAACA